rnacentral:lncRNA from 1 species
UCCUGAGGCUCCUCCUGCCCCCAGGAAUCUUUGGUGGGUAUUGGUCCAUGAGGGCAAAUGAGGCAGAGAUUACAGGUGGCGGUGGGGAGUGGGGGUGGAGUGGUGGUCAACUUUACUUCGGCUGAUUCAAGAGUUAUCCAGUUUUGGUUUAAGAGGACAGGGAUAUCCAGGGUGGGCAAAGGUUGUACUCAUUAACAUUGGGAGGCAUUCCAGGAAUUUCAAGUGUUAGCUGACCAGGUUCUUCUUGGAAGAAAGGAAGUAAUCACCAAGGUUACGUGACAUUCAUUAGGUGUGUGGGGGUCAGGGUCAGAGUAGGGGUACUGCUGGUAGAAGGAGUAUUCCAUUUUGCACCGAGCCCAGAAGGCUAUUUGGAUAAUGGUACACUUUGACCUUAACUAGCUGGGUUUUCCCACACUUUCUUUUUACUUACAGUCUCUUUAUAUAUCCCCAGCUGUUCUGGAACUCAUUAUGUAGACCAGGCUGGCCUUAAUCUCAUGAGACCUGCCUGUCUCUGUCUUGCAAAUGCUCGAACUAAAGGCACAAAAGGCUUGCACCACCACAUCCAGCUCUCCUUGAUGGCUUCUCAGGAGCCUAAAGCCAAGGAACACCUAACACCAAUUCCUGAGGGUGGGUGAAGUGUUCAAAAAUCAGAGUACAAGCAACCUGGCGGGGAGAGGGGAAUUUCUAAUUGGUUAUUGGAGAAGCUCUGUCUGCUCGGAUUUGUUGACUGUUGAUUCUCCUCCAUAGAAGGAGUAAGGACGGAGGUCACUGGACCCUCACUGAGUUCUGAGCCCCUCCUUCCAGCCAGAGGUAAAGAAACGCUGGAGAAGACUAGGAAGACUGAGCUCCGCCUUUGCCGCUCUGUGGAAGCCACCACCCAUACUGGCGGAGGACAGUUCUCUGUGGCCUCCUUAACUCAGCAAAGCAGGCAAGUUUGACUGCAAAGCUCUGCAAAUCACUGCACAGGGGAAGGGAGCACGGUGUGUAAUGACUGUUACAGUUGCUGGAAGAGGUUAGUGAGGUUCAUCUUUACCCAAGACCAGAGCGAGAACCCAACCCCCAGCCCCACCUAUUCUUUUAACCCAGGGAAAGCACUUUCUCUUAGUGGGCCCUGGAAGCUUCACCCUCUUCCUUUCAUCUGGUAUCUUGGAUCUUUUGAAAGGGCAAAUGCGGGACUUCCUGUGUGAGUGUGUGAGUGUGUGUGUGUGCGUGAGUGUGUGUGUGUGUGAGUGUGUGUGUGUGUGUGUGUAUGUGUGUGUGUGUGUGUGUGCGUGAGUGUGUAUGUGUGUGAGUGUGUGUGUGUGAGUGUGUGUGUGUGUGCGUGUGUGAGUGUGUGUGUGUAAGUGUGUGUGUGUGUAUAUGUAUGUAUGCGUGUGUGUGUGUGUGUGUGUGUGUGUGUGUUGUUUGGAAUAUGGGAUGGGGUGGGGCUUCCAAAGGUGACUAUGAAG